rnacentral:tRNA from 1 species
GCGUCAGUAGUCCAACGGUAAGGAUAACUGCCUUCCAAGCAAUAGACCGAGUUCGACUCUCGGCUGACGCA